rnacentral:rRNA from 1 species
UCCUACGGGAGGCAGCAGUGGGGAAUAUUGCACAAUGGGCGAAAGCCUGAUGCAGCGACGCCGCGUGAGGGAUGACGGCCUUCGGGUUGUAAACCUCUUUCAGUAGGGAAGAAGCGAAAGUGACGGUACCUGCAGAAGAAGCGCCGGCUAACUACGUGCCAGCAGCCGCGGUAAUACGUAGGGCGCAAGCGUUAUCCGGAAUUAUUGGGCGUAAAGAGCUCGUAGGCGGUUUGUCGCGUCUGCCGUGAAAGUCCGGGGCUCAACUCCGGAUCUGCGGUGGGUACGGGCAGACUAGAGUGAUGUAGGGGAGACUGGAAUUCCUGGUGUAGCGGUGAAAUGCGCAGAUAUCAGGAGGAACACCGAUGGCGAAGGCAGGUCUCUGGGCAUUAACUGACGCUGAGGAGCGAAAGCAUGGGGAGCGAACAGGAUUAGAUACCCUGGUAGUCCAUGCCGUAAACGUUGGGCACUAGGUGUGGGGGACAUUCCACGUUUUCCGCGCCGUAGCUAACGCAUUAAGUGCCCCGCCUGGGGAGUACGGCCGCAAGGCUAAAACUCAAAGGAAUUGACGGGGGCCCGCACAAGCGGCGGAGCAUGCGGAUUAAUUCGAUGCAACGCGAAGAACCUUACCAAGGCUUGACAUGAACCGGUAAUACCUGGAAACAGGUGCCCCGCUUGCGGUCGGUUUACAGGUGGUGCAUGGUUGUCGUCAGCUCGUGUCGUGAGAUGUUGGGUUAAGUCCCGCAACGAGCGCAACCCUCGUUCUAUGUUGCCAGCGCGUUAUGGCGGGGACUCAUAGGAGACUGCCGGGGUCAACUCGGAGGAAGGUGGGGACGACGUCAAAUCAUCAUGCCCCUUAUGUCUUGGGCUUCACGCAUGCUACAAUGGCCGGUACAAAGGGUUGCGAUACUGUGAGGUGGAGCUAAUCCCAAAAAGCCGGUCUCAGUUCGGAUUGGGGUCUGCAACUCGACCCCAUGAAGUCGGAGUCGCUAGUAAUCGCAGAUCAGCAACGCUGCGGUGAAUACGUUCCCGGGCCUUGUACACACCGCCCGUCAAGUCACGAAAGUUGGUAACACCCGAAGCCGGUGGCCUAACCCCUUGUGGGAGGGAGCG